ACUUUUUUUUUUUUUUUUUUUUUUUUUUUUUUUUUUUUUUUUUUUUUUUUUUUUUCCGCGCUCGCUGCAU
rnacentral:ribozyme from 1 species